rnacentral:rRNA from 1 species
GAUGAACGCUGGCGGCGUGCCUAAUACAUGCAAGUCGAGCGAACAGACGAGGAGCUUGCUCCUCUGACGUUAGCGGCGGACGGGUGAGUAACACGUGGAUAACCUACCUAUAAGACUGGGAUAACUUCGGGAAACCGGAGCUAAUACCGGAUAAUAUAUUGAACCGCAUGGUUCAAUAGUGAAAGACGGUUUUGCUGUCACUUAUAGAUGGAUCCGCGCCGCAUUAGCUAGUUGGUAAGGUAACGGCUUACCAAGGCAACGAUGCGUAGCCGACCUGAGAGGGUGAUCGGCCACACUGGAACUGAGAGACGGUCCAGACUCCUACGGGAGGCAGCAGUAGGGAAUCUUCCGCAAUGGGCGAAAGCCUGACGGAGCAACGCAGCGUGAGUGAUGAAGGGCUGCGGAUCGUAAAACUCUGUUAUUAGGGAAGAACAAAUGUGUAAGUAACUAUGCACGUCUUGACGGUACCUAAGCAGAAAGCCACGGCUAACUACGU